rnacentral:rRNA from 1 species
UACGUAGGGUGCGAGCGUUGUCCGGAAUUAUUGGGCGUAAAGAGCUCGUAGGCGGUGUGUCACGUCGGCCGUGAAAACCUGCAGCUUAACUGUGGGCGUGCGGUCGAUACGGGCAUCACUGGAGUUCGGCAGGGGAGACUGGAAUUCCUGGUGUAGCGGUGAAAUGCGCAGAUAUCAGGAGGAACGCCCGUGGCGAAAGCGGCUCUCUGGGACGGUACUGACGCUGAGACGCGAAAGCGUGGGGAGCAAACAGG